rnacentral:tRNA from 1 species
UCCAGGGUAGCCUAGUGGACAUGGCACCUGCCCGAUAAGCAGAAGGUUGUGGGUUCGAUUCCCGCCCCUGGAC